AUCCUGAAGGAGGUAUUGAGAGGAAUGGUUGUUCAGUUCCUCUUUACAAAUGCUGUGUAGGAGCAGAGGGAAAUUAUGUUAGGGAUCCAAUUGAUCACAUCUAUUCGAGUUCCAAAAACACUUAUUUGAGUGAUUUUCAGCUAAGAGUUGGAGAUAUUCCCACUGAUUGUGAUGUAGCUCCUGGAAAUGGAAAAAACAAGAAUGGUUACUACUCUUCAAAAGCGCAUUCCAACAGUGACUUGUUUGAAAAUUAUAAACACUGAAAUAAUAUCAAAUGGAUUUGCUGACUAUGAAGUUGGAAAUGGUAGAGAAGCAAACGGAGAAGCUGACGAGCUUAAGACUGCUGCAGAUGAAGAUGGUGCUUCAUAGUCAGCAAAUCCAUUUGAUAUUAUACUCAGGAGGAUGAAUAUGAAGUAUUUGAUCUGCGAAUCAUACAUAGGAAAAACAGGACAGG
rnacentral:misc_RNA from 1 species